rnacentral:rRNA from 1 species
UACGGAGGAUCCAAGCGUUAUCCGGAUUCACUGGGUUUAAAGGGUGCGUAGGUGGAAUGACAAGUCAGUGGUGAAAACCUGCAGCUUAAACUGUAGAACUGCCAUUGAUACUGUUAUUCUUGAGUACAUUUGAUGUGAGUGGAAUGUGUCGUGUAGCGGUGAAAUGCUUAGAUAUGACACAGAACACCAAUUGCGAAGGCAGCUCACAAAACUGUAAACUGACACUGAGGCACGAAAGCCGUGGGGAAUCAAACAGGG